rnacentral:rRNA from 1 species
CAGUCGCCACGGUAAUACAGAGGGUGCGAGCGUUAAUCGGAUUUACUGGGCGUAAAGCGUGCGUAGGCGGCUUUUUAAGUCGGAUGUGAAAUCCCUGAGCUUAACUUAGGAAUUGCAUUCGAUACUGGGAAGCUAGAGUAUGGGAGAGGAUGGUAGAAUUCCAGGUGUAGCGGUGAAAUGCGUAGAGAUCUGGAGGAAUACCGAUGGCGAAGGCAGCCAUCUGGCCUAAUACUGACGCUGAGGUACGAAAGCAUGGGGAGCAACAGGAUUAGAUACCCGAGUAGUCCCUGUCUCUUAUACA